ACGCUCGACACCUACGGGAGGCAGCAGUGGGGAAUAUUGCACAAUGGGGGAAACCCUGAUGCAGCGACGCCGCGUGGAGGAAGAAGGUCUUCGGAUUGUAAACUCCUGUUGUUGGGGAAAAAGAGGAUGGUACCCAACAAGGAAGUGACGGCUAACUACGUGUCCAGCAGCCGCGGUAAUCUGAGGCGGCUGGCAAGGC
rnacentral:rRNA from 1 species